GGCAAUGAUGAGUACUGCUUCUUCCUACACCUCUCAGUAUGAGAAUAGCUUCUCUGAGUAUAUUAAGCAGCUACCUGAGCU